GGGGAAGCCGGUGGGAGUCCGGCGCUGACCUGCAACCGUGUGCGGCCGGUGGGCCGCGAGUCGGGACACCC
rnacentral:ncRNA from 2 species